rnacentral:sRNA from 1 species
UAAUACAAGUGUCAAAAGCAUAAAAUUCUGUGUAAGCUUGCUUGCAAAAGAAUUUAUUAUCUUUUGACAAGAAAAAAUGGGUAAGUAGCCGUUUUUUGCAAAAAAAUGAGCGGAUUACGAAUAUUUUUGCAAGAACCCUGAGAAGCGAAGUUCCUGCAAUCCUGUAUCA